UGUGUGUGUGUGUGUGUGUGUGUGUGUGUGUGUUGUGUGUGUGUGUGUGUGUGGUGUAUAACACACACACACACACACACACACAUACACACACACACCACAUCUUGUCAUAUAUUAUAUAUAUUAUAUAUAUAUAUAUAAUUAUAUACACACCACCACACAAUC